rnacentral:rRNA from 1 species
CACGUAGGAGGCGAGCGUUGUCCGGAAUCAUUGGGCGUAAAGAGCGCGCAGGCGGCUUGGCAAGUCGGGUGUGAAAUCCCGGGGCUCAACCCCGGGACUGCAUUCGAUACUGUCAGGCUAGAGGUAGGUAGGGGAGAUCGGAAUUCCUGGUGUAGCGGUGAAAUGCGCAGAUAUCAGGAGGAACACCGGUGGCGAAGGCGGCAUCCUGGACCGGCAUUGACGCUGAGGCGCGAAAGCCAGGGGAGCAAACGGG